AUGAGCGGCUGGAGGAAAUGUAUAAACCCAACAUCACAUAAUUCAGUAAGUGUGAAGUCGUCAGUCUGCAGAUUUAGAGGACGUGCCCGGAGUUUUAAAACGUUUUCCUUUAAGGUCGCAGGAUUCAGGGCUCGACUUCUCUGUAAAAGGAUUGGUUUCCGUUUGUUUUUGUCUUCUAAAGUACCUAUUCUCCGUUUCUCCUUUCAGCUCGGAGGUUUAUGGAGGUCUCUUAGGGGUUUUUUUUUUUUUUUUUUUUUCUGUUCCUCAGAAGCCGUCUGCUGGCUGUCGUCCAUCAGCUGCAGUUUCUUUUCUCUCCUCUUUAAAAUGAGCAUCAGAACCUUUUUCCUGCAACAAAAAGCGAGUGAAGAAAGUGUUCAGGACUUCAGCUGUGAAGAUGAACCGGAUCCCCUGAGACCACCAGCAGCCCACAAAUCAAUAAAAACAACACAACAAAUAAAACAUAAAAUAACAAAACAAUAACCAGAACAACAGAAAUAUUGUUUCAAAACUCGUAUUAACACAUAAACUAAAAAAUAAUAAUAAAGUGUGAACAGUGAAUACCAGAGAAAAUUACCACACGGAAUAAAAGCAGCAAAAUGUGAAAAUUAACACAAUAAUUUCUUGUGCAUGUCGCUCACAAAAUAAAUACUUACACAAUGUUUAUUACAGCUGCUUGUUUGUAUUCAGGCCUGCAGAUCUGCUGCUGAACAACAUCCGGACAUUUAAUCUCUUCUGUCAUUUUUAUUCAUCUAAUAACACAAAGACAAUAAAACUCAACAUGUAUUAUUAUUAUUAUUAUUAUUAUUAUUAUUAUUAUUAUUAUUAUUAUUAUUAUUAUUAUUAUUAUUAAUAAUAAUAAUAAUAAUAUUAUUUGCAUUAAUUUAUAAGCUGCAUACACACGUGUGUUGGUGGUUUAUAACACUGUGAUGUAUUUGUAAGCAGCUCCAAGGAUAUUUUUUAAAUUUAUUUAUUAACACAGUUUUUGUCCACAGUUAUAAUUUCUAUAUUUAUUUUUUUAUUCCAGCUGUUUGACAGUUGUGUCGUUAAUUAUAUCAGUAAAAUAUGUUGCUAGAUGCAUAAAUUAACAUUUAUAUCUGCCUGCAUUAUAUUUAGUUAUAAACAUUUUAUUUACACAAGAAGAAAUUUCACAUUUAAAAACUUUAUUACGCAGCAAAUUCAUAACAAAAAAUAAUAUUCUUGGUUUUAUAAUAAACUGAAGCUUGUUGUUAUUUUGUGGCGUCAAAAAAAAAAAAGUUGGAAUCACAUUUUAUUUGAUUUUUCGUUUGAUGUAAAUCAACACUUCGUUAUUUUUUAGAUUUCAUAUUUAAAUGUUCAGAUUUUCGUUUUUAUUAUAAAUCAUUUCUUUCGUCUCUUCAGUCGUGAGAAUCUUUAUUUGUAAAUAAAAUAAAAUAUAAUUGAUUGCAGCGCUGAAAAUGUUCUUAAGUGGAAAGGAAUCAAAUUUAAACUUGAACAUGUUUAAAUAUAUAAAUAUAUUGUGGCGCAGCAGCUUCAGCUCCUUGUUGUGUUUGUUGUUUGGUUGUGUGUGUUUCCCUCUUCAGGCCUCACUGUUUUAUUUCUCUCCCUCUUUUCUUCAGACUCCUCUCUGUUGCUUUCAUCGAGGUGUUGUCGUUCUGAAAAACCUGAAAAACUCUAAAUUCACAUCUCUGUGCGUAAAGGCGCAUCCGGGAAAAAAAGAAAAAAAGAAAAAGAAAAGACGGGAUGUGAGGAGAGAGGAGAGAGCGCGCGGGCUGUUCCUCGUGUUGUUUCUUUAGCAGUAAAAAAAUAAAUAAAAAAAUAUAUCAGUGAGAGUCGAGGAGUGUUUUUUCAGCCGCGGGUGGAUUUUGGGCAUCUAAAAAGCUGCUGCGUAAAAAGAAAAGAGGAGGAGAAGAAGAAAAAAAAAGCGCUCGAGUCAAAGUUUGUGACUCAGAGACCCGAAAGCCCACCCAGGCUGAGAUCGAUGACUCCAAAUCCAUUCUCUGUUCAAUAUCUCGAUCCGUUUUCUGUCUCGAGUUCACCCGCGUGUGCAGCUCCGUGUCCUCUCUGAGGCGCGCGUAAAAAGAGGAGGCUGGGUCCAAAUCUGAUCCAAAACUCUGACAGCUCCUGACCUCGCGGCCGCUGCGCGUCUGGCGCACUGCGAUUAGGAAGAAGAAAAAAAAAAUGAUGUCACGCGAAGCCACAAGGGGACCUGGGAUUUACCAAAUACCUUCCAGUUGAGCAGGAGUCCUGCCAAGUAAGGGACAACCUCCUCCUCCUCCUCCUCCUCCUCUCCUCCUCCUCUUCCAGCGGCGACAAGUGCAGAGAAUCGACGGAGGAGAAUUGAGCAAAUUAUCUACUUUUUGCGCGCUCCUUCCUGGACGGUAACGAUCGACGAGGUCUCGGCUCUCCGCACGCCGUUAUCGAGCGAGCCGCGGCCGUCAAUAAGUGAGGGGAACUGGGCUGCCGAUUAGGAGAGGGGGGGUUCCCCGGCAGAUGAUGCCCUUUCCUGCGGGCCGGUGAGGAGCAGCACCGACCCCCGGCUUCCCUCCAGCAGCUUCUCGUUGUUGUUGUUGUUUUUGUCGCG
rnacentral:lncRNA from 1 species